rnacentral:tRNA from 1 species
ACCCAGGUAGCUCAGUUGGGAGAGCGUUAGACUAUACAUCGAAAGGUCCCUGGUUCGAUCCCGGGAUUCGGCA